UAUGCGUGAAUAUUGGUGGCCGCUAAAU
rnacentral:piRNA from 1 species